UACAUUUAAAAUUUCAAUAACUUAUUCCAAUGCUUAAAAGAUGCAUAACUUUACUUGCUUUUCCCUUUCCCUGAUAAUGUUUCUAGCUUAAGAAGCUCUUACUGGCACCAGCCAACACUCAGCUAAGUUAUAAUGAAUGCAGUGGUCUCAGUACCCAGAACCAUGCAAAUCACAAUCACAGGAUCAGAACAAACCCUGCAAUUGUUAAGACUGAGAAUUCAUGGAGCAAUAAAGCGAAGAGUAUUUGUCAACAGCAAAAGCCACAAAGACGUCCCUGCUCGGAGCUUCUCAAAUAUCUGACCACAAACGAUGACCCUCCUCACA
rnacentral:lncRNA from 1 species